rnacentral:lncRNA from 1 species
CUGAUCUCACCCAUCUAUCCCCUCAUCACCCCCAGCCCACCGUAAAUCCCUAAUCCCAACUCCAGAUAUAGACCCAGCAAAAUGACAAUAAGGCAAAUUAUUUCUAAGUUUCACAAAAGGUGUGUGUGUGUGUUCUUUAUCCAGUUAAUUUGUGUGAUGGUUUGUAUAUGCUUGGGGUAGAAAGUGUCACUAUUAGGAAGUGUGACCUUAUUGGAGUAGGUGUGUCACCUUGGACAUGGGCUUUAAUACCCUUGUCCUAGCUACCUGGAAGCCAGUCUUCUAGCAGCCUGCAGAUGAAGAUGUAGAACUCUCAGCUCCUCCUGCACCUUGCCUGCCUGGGCUCUGCCAUGCCCCUGCCUUGAUGAUGCUGGACUGAACCUCUGAACCUAACUUCUCUCCACCUUCAUCUUUAUUCCUGGUCUUCUCCUUACCACCGCCCACAGCCCUCCUUUGCCUUGCUGUUUGCCUCCGAGGUAAAAUUUAUUCCGUUUAAGUUAAUGAUGGAAUGGGUUUUGGAUGCUGGAAG